AACUCGAAGAGUAGGGCGGGACACGUGGUAUCCUGUCUGAAUAUGGGGGGACCAUCCUCCAAGGCUAAAUACUCCUGACUGACCGAUAGUGAACCAGUACCGUGAGGGAAAGGCGAAAAGAACCCCGGCGAGGGGAGUGAAAAAGAACCUGAAACCGUGUACGUACAAGCAGUGGGAGCACCUUCGGGUGUGACUGCGUACCUUUUGUAUAAUGGGUCAGCGACUUAUAUUCUGUAGCAAGGUUAACCGUAUAGGGGAGCCGCAGGGAAACCGAGUCUUAACUGGGCGUUAAGUUGCAGGGUAUAGACCCGAAACCCGGUGAUCUAGCCAUGGGCAGGUUGAAGGUUGGGUAACACUAACUGGAGGACCGAACCGACUAAUGUUGAAAAAUUAGCGGAUGACUUGUGGCUGGGGGUGAAAGGCCAAUCAAACCGGGAGAUAGCUGGUUCUCCCCGAAAGCUAUUUAGGUAGCGCCUCGUGAACUCAUCUUCGGGGGUAGAGCACUGUUUCGGCUAGGGGGUCAUCCCGACUUACCAACCCGAUGCAAACUACGAAUACCGAAGAAUGUUAUCACGGGAGACACACGGCGGGUGCUAACGUCCGUCGUGAAGAGGGAAACAACCCAGACCGCCAGCUAAGGUCCCAAAGUCAUGGUUAAGUGGGAAACGAUGUGGGAAGGCACAGACAGCCAGGAUGUUGGCUUAGAAGCAGCCAUCAUUUAAAGAAAGCGUAAUAGCUCACUGGUCGAGUCGGCCUGCGCGGAAGAUGUAACGGGGCUAAACCAUGCACCGAAGCUGCGGCAGCGACACUAUGUGUUGUUGGGUAGGGGAGCGUUCUGUAAGCCUGCGAAGGUGUGCUGUGAGGCAUGCUGGAGGUAUCAGAAGUGCGAAUGCUGACAUAAGUAACGAUAAAGCGGGUGAAAAGCCCGCUCGCCGGAAGACCAAGGGUUCCUGUCCAACGUUAAUCGGGGCAGGGUGAGUCGACCCCUAAGGCGAGGCCGAAAGGCGUAGUCGAUGGGAAACAGGUUAAUAUUCCUGUACUUGGUGUUACUGCGAAGGGGGGACGGAGAAGGCUAUGUUAGCCGGGCGACGGUUGUCCCGGUUUAAGCAUGUAGGCUGGUUGUCCAGGCAAAUCCGGAUAAUCAAGGCUGAGGUGUGAUGACGAGGCACUACGGUGCUGAAGUAACAAAUGCCCUGCUUCCAGGAAAAGCCUCUAAGCAUCAGGUAACAUCAAAUCGUACCCCAAACCGACACAGGUGGUCAGGUAGAGAAUACCAAGGCGCUUGAGAGAACUCGGGUGAAGGAACUA
rnacentral:rRNA from 1 species